UGUUUAGCUAGUGCGUCGUAUAAAAUCUGGAAUGGUGCUGGGCUUUAUACCUGUGACUUGAUAAGCCAUUUUAAAAAGCCACUGAAGAGCUUGUUGUAAUUCUGAUUGAUAAACUAUCAAGGUUUGUGUAGCCAUUCCUGUGGUCCCUUUUUAGAUGAACUGUGUAGUUAUUUAUGAACGUAGUGCUGCACAAUUAUGGCCAAAAUAAUAAUCAUGAUUUUGAUAUAUUUUAAUCACGAUUAUUCCUCAUGUUAGGGGAAAAUAUAGUAGAUGUGAAAUGUUAUUUCCUUCGCUAUUUACUCGCAGCUUUUUUUUCAUUGUGGUCAGGCCAUUCGAAAAGUUGAAAUCAAGGCAGCUGCUCCAGUGAUUGUUAAUAGUGUCUUACUGUGACAUGCCUCCUCUCCGCCAAACUGGUGAGAAGGGCCAUCUUCAAAAUAAAAGCUUCAUAUAUUACUACAUUGAACAUCUGGGCCUGGCCUGGCCAACCCGCGGCUCGCGAGCCUCAUGCGGCUCUUUAACUAGUUUCAUGCGGCUCUUCAGGAGCUGUCACAUGACAUGCGUCAAAAAUGCUUGGCUGGCGCUGUCAUUCACUUCCCCUACAGCUAGAUGGCACACUGACCAUGUAAGCCUGUUUGAGUGACGUCAAACGAGCGACGAGAGAAUCUUUGGUGUGAGAGUUUAUAUUUUUUUGUUAAACGUAAUGGCAAGCCGAUCUGCCUUAUAUGUCACGCAGCAUUAGCGCAUUUCAAAGCUUCAAAUCUUCAGCGUCACUUCAGCUCACUCCACCCUAACAUCGAACAGGAAUUUCCAGAAGGGACUGAACUUCGCAAGAACAAGUUGGUCGCUUUGAAAAGCAAGGCAGAAAAGCAGGUGCAGUUUUUCAAAAAAUUUACAAAACACUCGGAGACCGUAACGCUUGCAUCAUAUCAGCUGGCUUGGAACAUAGCACGGGCUAAAAAGCCAUACAAAAAAUGCCUCAUUGACGCCUUUGAAAUCUUGGCUCCUGGAGACGACAAACUAAAACGGAGCGUAUCAGACGUUCAACUGUCCCGCCACAGUGUUAAACGCAGAAUAUCGGAUAUUAAUACAGCUGUUGAAUCACAGUUGCACUCUGACCUUCAAGCAUGUGAGUAUUUUAGUGUGGCAUUGGAUGAGAGUUGUGACAUACAAGACAAGCCUCAGUUGGCAAUAUUUGCAUGGUCUGUGCCAAAUGAAUGUAUGAUCAAAGAAGAACUUCUUGAUAUUGUGCCAUUAAAAGACAGAACCCGUGGCAUAGAUGUGAAAGAAGCAAUGAUGGCUGCGUUUGCAAAAGCAAAUCUGCCCAUACCGAAACAAACUGCAAUAGCCACGGAUGGAGCGCCAGCCAUGAUCGGAUCCAUGAACGGGCUUGUGGGGCUGUGCAAAGCUGAUCAAACAUUUCCCGACUUUUGGAAUUUCCACUGCAUCAUCCACAGGGAGCAACUCGUGUCUAAAUCAUUGAAUUUAAACAACGUCAUGAAGCCUGUGAUGGAAAUCGUCAACUACAUCCGCACACAUGCGCUUAACCACAGGCAAUUCAGGAAUCUCAUCGCUGAGCUGGACCAAGGGCUUCCAGGUGACCUGCCGCUGCACUGCACUGUGAGGUGGCUGUCAAAAAGCAAGGUACUCUCUCGCUUCUUUGAGCUUGUGGAUGCUGUGAAACUGUUCAUGGAAGAGAAGGAGAAGGACUAUCCCGAGCUCUGGCAUUUUCAGUCGACAUGCUGUGUCACUUGGACAGACUGAACCUGACCCUGCAGGCCAGUGAGCAAGUCACCAGCGCCGCCCUGAAAAAGAAAAGAGACAGAUAUGCAACAGUGGUUGCAAACCUGCACGAAAGCUUUGUGACCCGGUUCUGUGAUCUACAACUGAAAAGACCACAGAUUACGUUCCUCGUCGACCCAUUUAAUGCGGAGACAGACUGUUUGAAAGCCCCGCUCGUCACAGAUGAGGCUGCGGCUGAGUUGGAGAUGAUCGACCUUUGUGAGGAGGAUCAACUGAAAGCUGUUUUAAGGGAAGGGACCGUUGAGUUCUGGAAAAGUGUGCCAAUUGAAAAAUACCCCAACAUCAAACGAGCUGCGCUUAAGAUACUGUCCAUGUUUGGGUCAACGUACGUCUGCGAGUCUGUUUUCUACCCUGAAACGUGAAAUCAAAGCAUCGAUCUGUUCUGACUGACACUCAUUUGAAAGAAUUGCUUAGAGUGGCAACAACAGAAUACAAGCCAGAUUUGAAGAGGAUUGUUCAAGAUAAGGAAUGCCAGAAGUCUCACUAAGCAGCAUAGUAAGAGAAAGAUGUUAUUGAACAUUAUUCUAUUAUUGUUUGUGGACUUGCUUGAACUGAGAGUUUGUGUGUGUGAGACAGUGCACACAAUGUUAACUGUUGAAAAUUACUGAUAUUAUCAUGUUGGUGUGGUUAUUUUCAUUAGAUCUGGCUGAGCAGAGGUCUGUGUAUGCGUGCAUACAUGAUUAAAAUAUGAUGUUCAUGUG